rnacentral:lncRNA from 1 species
CACUGACCAAGCUAUUCUAUCUCAACCGGAGUGUUGCAGCAACAAUAUUAAGGCCAAGUGCCUUAGAAGGUAGCUCAAAGAGAAAAAUUCUCAGUUUUUGAAUAUGAUGUGCAUACUAGAUGAUUAUUUCUCUACAAUAACAAGAUGUGGAUCCAUGAGAUGCCAAAUGAAACUUAAACAGGAUUCACCAACAAUGUCAAACUAAAGUUCCUUUUCUGGUUUUUUAAUAGAAAAUGAAAAAUCCCAUCAAAUUCAUUAAGAGAAUGAAUUCAGGUUAAUCCCCAAUAAAGUAAACAAGAAGUU